GCCUCUUGUUUAGAUAUUAGAGGUCCCGCCUGCCCUGUGAUUUUAUUUAAUUUAACGGCCGCGGUAUUUUAACCGUGCAAAGGUAGCACAAUAAAUUGUUCUCUAAAUAAGGACUAGUAUGAACGGCACCACGAGGGCUCAACUGUCUCCCCCCUCCAAUCAAUGAAACUGAUCUUCUCGUGAAGAAGCGAGAAUACACAUAUAAGACGAGAAGACCCCAUGGAGCUUUAAACAUCAACAAUUAUAUAAUUUAAACCACAAUAUUAAAUAAAAAUGUUCUCUGAUAGUUUUCGGCUGGGGUGACCCUGGAGCAAAAUAAAUCCUCCAGGAUGAACGGAAUAAUUAACCCUAAUAUUAGAGCCACAGCUCAAAUAAUCAAUAAACUGACACUACUGACCCAACUUAUUGAUCAACGAAACAAGUUACCCUGGGGAUAACAGCGCAAUCCAUUUAAAGAGCUCAUAUCGACAAAUGGGUUUACGACCUCGAUGUUGGAUCGGGGUAUCCAAGUGGCGCAGCCGUUACUAAAGGUUCGUUUGUUCAACGAUUAAUAACCCCACGU
rnacentral:rRNA from 1 species